CGCUGACGUGGUGUGAAUUAUAUCCGCCCAUAUAUUUUUGUAACCUCGUUUAUUUACCGGUUAGUUGUUCACUCAUUUAUAAAGUGGGCAAUCUAGUUCAGCGGUGUCCGAAAACAGUUGCAGUCGACCAUGGCAGGGUACCUGAGGGCUCUUUGCUCCAUCUCAAGAUGUGCUGCCGCUUCACUGUCGGAAAAUCCCGCAGUGCUCGCGCCUGCCGUAGUUUACCAAAAUGUACAACAGAGGAACUAUGCUACUAAACGUAUCAAGGUUGACCAGCCUGUGGUGGAGAUGGAUGGAGAUGAGAUGACACGCAUCAUAUGGGAGUUCAUCAAAGAGAAGCUUAUCCUCUCUAAUGUUGAUGUGGAGCUGAAAUACUAUGAUCUGGGACUGCCAUAUCGUGACCAGACUAAUGACCAGGUCACGAUUGACUCUGCACUUGCCACCAAACAAUACAACGUGGCAGUCAAGUGUGCCACCAUCACCCCUGACGAGGACAGAAUGGAGGAGUUCAAGCUGAAAAACAUGUGGAAGAGCCCCAAUGGAACCAUCCGGAACAUUUUGGGAGGCACUGUCUUCCGUGAGCCUAUCAUCUGCAAGAACAUACCCCGUCUUGUACCCGGUUGGACGCAGCCUAUCACAAUUGGCAGACAUGCUUUUGGUGAUCAGUACAAGGCCACAGACUUUGUUAUUACCCAGCCUGGAAAGUUUAAAAUGGUGUUCACCCCAAGUGAUGGAAGCAAAGGGAAAGAGUGGGAGGUGUAUGAUUUCCCCUCUGGUGGCUGUGGAAUGGGCAUGUACAACACUGAUGAGUCCAUCAGUGGAUUUGCCCACAGCUGCUUCCAGUAUGCUAUCCAGAAGAAGUGGCCUCUCUACAUGAGCACCAAGAACACAAUUCUCAAGGCUUACGAUGGGAGGUUCAAAGACAUCUUCCAAGAAAUCUUUGAGGCGAACUACAAACCAGAGUUUGACAGCCUGAAGAUCUGGUAUGAGCACCGCCUAAUUGAUGACAUGGUUGCCCAGGUCCUCAAAUCCUCCGGAGGUUUUGUGUGGGCAUGCAAGAACUAUGAUGGAGACGUUCAGUCAGACAUUCUGGCUCAGGGCUUUGGCUCCCUGGGCCUGAUGACCUCAGUGCUAGUGUGCCCAGAUGGCAAGACCAUCGAGGCCGAGGCGGCCCACGGCACGGUGACCAGGCACUUCCGCGAGCACCAGAGGGGACGGCCCACUAGCACCAACCCAAUUGCCAGCAUCUUUGCUUGGACAAGGGGUCUUGAGCACAGAGGGAAGCUGGAUGGAAACCCUGACUUAAUAAAGUGAUGACUGGAGAUACUCAUUUUCAACUACAGCACAAUUCUCUCAGACUUUGGAGAGGGUGUGUGUGGAGACUGUGGAGAGUGGUGUGAUGACCAAGGACCUUGCAGGCUGCAUCCAUGGCCUUGCCAACUGCAAGCUCAAUGAACAUUAUGUCAACACAUCUGACUUCCUGGAUGCCAUAAAGACCAACCUGGACAAAGCACUGGGAAAGUAAAAA